CUGCCUCUCUAGGAAGCACCCCACUGUGUGGUGUUGGGGUUUUACAGCCAAUUGGGGAACUAGCUGAUAAACCCUGGACAGAAAUAGAAACUCUACAAGAAGUGAAACCAAGUUCCAUCCAAGAAUGAAACCACAGCCAAUCACAUGAGAUGCCCAUGCCAUCUCCUGGCCCAUUGUCAGGGGGACAAAUGUACUGAUGACCUGGUCCAGCCUUCAUCCCUGCAAAGGAGAGGAAGAGACAUGGAGACUCAGUGGACAGAUGCCUCCUUCCGCCUGGGGAACUCGACACCAGCAUCUGGAUGUAAAUGGAAAGCCGCUGCCUCCUGACCCACCUGACCUGUGCAUUAGCUGAGAACAGUGAUGGACAUUUCUUGGGUGUUCCUUCUGUGUAGAUUUAUGCGAAGCACUUACAAAACCUAAAUUUCAUGAAAUCUUUCCUUCCCCAAGGAGACACCGGCAGCAGGACCACACAGCAGGACCACAGGACCAGCAGCAGGACCACACAGCGGACAGAGGCCUCCUGAAUGGAGAGGGAGGCUGAGCAACUGCAAACGGAAAUGCCCCCCCCCCCAGGCGAAUCAUAGCUGCAUCACCACCUCAUGCAGGGUCAUUGUUGGCCCACGUGCUUUGCCCACCACGGUCAUCAUUUUCCACCAGCAGUCCCAGGCUUGGGCAGGACUUAAAAGGAGGGCUCUGUGAUCACCAACGCCUUUGCAACAAAAUUUUAAAAAAAAAAUUUUUUUGUUUUAGAAACCAACUAGAUGAAACCAGAGCUGAACUUUGCAAGUGAAGGAAAAUGUGCUUGGCAUGAAAAAUGACAAAAACAAAAACAAAAAUAAAAACAAACAAGCAAAACACAAA